rnacentral:tRNA from 1 species
GGCCAGUUAGCUCAAUCAGUUAGAGUGUGGUGCUGCUAACACCAAGGUCGCGGGUUUGAUUCCCGUUCGGUCCC